UUUAAUUGAAGAGUUUGAUCAUGGCUCAGAUUGAACGCUGGCGGCAGGCCUAACACAUGCAAGUCGAGCGGCAGCGACUUAACUGAACCUUCGGGGAACGUUAAG
rnacentral:rRNA from 1 species